ensembl:lncRNA
GGAUGAUGUAGACAGAGGGAACUGGGGAGGCUGAGGACUAGGGGAUGAAUCAAUAGGGAAGAAAAGCUUAUGUACAAUGUGGUACAGAUCAAAGAGUUAUAGAACUGCAGUAGAAAUUACUCAUUCGUCAGACAAGGAAAUGGAGGUCUUGGCAAGUUAUGGAAGGAAUUCAUGCAAAGUCACAAAGCAAGUUGGGGAAGAAAGGAUACAAGGUGAACAAUAGAAUAAUAUCUAAUCCUUCAUGGCCUGUUCCAGAUUUCUUGAGAUAAACAUUGCUACUUCAAAAGAGAGUUUCCAAAACAAGGUUGGAAACUUAAGACCCAUGCUUACUGUCCAACACCCAGAUUUUACCCGGGAUUCUGCUGACCAUGACCUCAUGCUUAUCAAGCUGAGUCAUCCCCAAAAACUCAACGAUCAGGUGAAGCUGGUGGUUCUGCCCAAUACCACAGAUGACAGAAGAGGGGAAAAGUGCACAGUCUCUGGCUGGGGCUGGGAAUGGACGAAUUCCGAGAACAUGUUCUGUGCGGGAUCAUCUCUGGAGAACAUACACACAUGUAAGGAAUUAGCCGCUGCCCCAAUCCUGUGCCAGAAUCAGCUCCAUGGGAUCCUAUCUUGGUCAGCAGGAUGUAUUCUGAGAGGCUUUGUGUAAUACGCACAUUUGUACAUGAUACAUCUGUGCUCCUGACUUUCAUUUCUCCUUGGUGUUACCUCCCACAGAUGAAGGAAAUGGAACUAAUGUGUCAGAACUGUGUGUGAGGGACAGGUGAGUGGCUGAAUGCGUAGGUGUGAAGGUGGGGGCGUGUGUUUAGACUGCAUCUGUUGGUGUGUGAGAACGAAGGUUCAAAGAGCAAGGAUGUGUGUUAGAGUUCAGUGGUUGCUGAAAACUGUGCAUAAUGGCAUUAUUUUUACAUCAGUUUUCAAUUAAAACAUUUAUUUCCAGGUUUUUGAGUGUGUGUGUGCGCACUGUCACAGAUCUCAAAUUAACAUAAAGAUCUCUAAUGGAAUCCAUAAAAUUUUAGGAAAGGGCUGUGUACGCCUUAUUGUGAUAUGUCAUCUGUCACACUUACAAUGUAACUUGACAUUUUACAACUCUGUAUUACCAUUCUCCAAUAUGUGUACAUUCAAAUUAUUUAUACCCUUUUUUCCCCCCACAUACUGGAACUAAAAAAUGUCCUUAACACUAUCACACACACACUAACAUAUCCCUAUUCGUGGAAUACUUUUUUUUUUAAAGACUUUAUUUAUUUAUUUAUUUGACAGAGAGAGAGAGACAGCCAGCAAGAGAGGGAACACAAGCAGGGGGAGUGGGAGAGGAAGAAGCAGUCUCCCAGCAGAGGAGCCCGAUAUGGGGCUCGAUCCCAGAACGCCGGGAUCACGCCCUGAGCAGAAGGCAGAUGCUCAACGACUGCGCCACCCAGGCGCCCCUUGGAAUACUUUUUUUACCUGAAUCUUAAUGCUAUAAUUUUUGGAAAGGAUGAUUUUUUUUUUUAAGAUUUUAUUUAUUUAUUCGACAGAGAUAGAGACAGCCAGUGAGAGAGGGAACACAAGCAGGGGGAGUGGGAGAGGAAGAAGCAGGCUCAUAGGGGGGGAGCCUGACGUGGGACCCGAUCCCAUAAGGCCGGGAUCACGCCCUGAGCCGAAGGCAGACGCCCAACCGCUGUGCCACCCAGGCGCCCCUGGAAAGGAUGAUUUUGUAAACGUAACUAAAUUAUAUUUUUCAGUGUGAUACUUUUUCACAAAAUGCAACACAUCAAAGGAACCUGCAUAAGAAUCAAUAUUCUUGGAUUCUACUUCUAGCCCUGAUAUUAACAUAAUCCUGAGCAAAUAAAAUCUUGUGAUUCCAUUCUCA